rnacentral:rRNA from 1 species
AUGGAGACUCUGGUCAUCUCGCAGCAGCGCAGCCACCACCACCACUCUGGUCGCCGGAGGAAGCCAUCCCCGCACACCUCGUCGCCUCAGCCCAUGCGUGGCUACCACGCCUUCAACUGCCGUGCCUUCCACUCCAGUAUCAGCAUCGGCAUCCUGCCGUCCCCGCCCCCACCCCCACCUCCGCCUGCCCCCCGGGCUCGGACCUACUCCCCGGAGCCCAAGACGCCCAAGCAGCAGCUGCACAAUGGCAAAAAGCGCAGCAGGGCGAUUCCUAUAACUCCAUCAGGAUCUCCUCCUUCCCGUCCCGAGCUUUGGGCUGGCCCGGCAUACUCCAAUUCGCCGCCACCCAGCUCGCUGCCUAUUCCCAAGUUCUCACUCCACCAGAAGCGCAGUGUAUCGCUUGAGUUGCCACCUGCUGAUAGGCCAGAGCAUGUGGAGGUGCUUGUGCAUGCCAAGUCUGCACCUUCGACACCCACUGCUGGCUCAGGACUUGGCUUCUUCGGUGACAAUGAUACUGCCAUUGCCACGGAGAAUCUGAGGAGGAUCCUUAAUUUGGAAAUCACCGAGGACUGA